rnacentral:misc_RNA from 1 species
GAUGAAGAACGUAGCGAAAUGCGAUAAGUAAUGUGAAUUGCAGAAUUCAGUGAAUCAUCGAAUCUUUGAACGCACAUUGCGCCCGCCAGUAUUCUGGCGGGCAUGCCUGUUCGAGCGUCAUUACAACCCUCAGGCCCCCGGGCCUGGCGUUGGGGAUCGGCGGAGCCCCCCGUGGGCACACGCCGUCCCCCAAAUGCAGUGGCGGUCCCGCCGCAGCUUCCAUCGCGUAGUAGCUAACACCUCGCGACUGGAGAGCGGCGCGGCCACGCCGUAAAACCCCCAACUUCUGAAUGUUGACCUCGGAUCAGGUAGGAAUACCCGCUGAACUUAAGCAUAUCAAUAAGCGGAGGA